AACGAACGCUGGCGGCAUGCCUAACACAUGCAAGUCGAACGAACCCUUCGGGGUUAGUGGCGCACGGGUGCGUAACGCGUGGGAAUCUGCCCUUUGCUUCGGAAUAACUCAGGGAAACUUGUGCUAAUACCGGAUGAUGUCUUCGGACCAAAGAUUUAUCGGCAAGGGAUGAGCCCGCGUAGGAUUAGGUAGUUGGUGGGGUAAAGGCCUACCAAGCCGACGAUCCUUAGCUGGUCUGAGAGGAUGAUCAGCCACACUGGGACUGAGACACGGUCCAGACUCCUACGGGAGGCAGCAGUGGGGAAUAUUGGACAAUGGGCGCAAGCCUGAUCCAGCAAUGCCGCGUGAGUGAUGAAGGCCCUCGGGUCGUAAAGCUCUUUUACCAGGGAUGAUAAUGACAGUACCUGGAGAAUAAGCUCCGGCUAACUCCGUG
rnacentral:rRNA from 1 species